GGAGAGAAAGAGGAGGAGGCCCCAAAAUAUUGUGGGCGUGGUCGUCCACCAAAACGAGUUGAACAUGCACAUGAACCACCUACUCUCGCAAAGGUAGCAUCUAUAUUUUCUAUUGAAGUAUAUAAUUUUAUUUUAUUUUGUAUAGAAUUGGGGAUCUCAUCAUAUACAAAUGUCAUUUGUACUAAAAAGAUAAUUAGAUGUGAGCCAAAAAUGAGAUUAUAAAGAUUCUUAUGCUUGAUUUGUUUGUGUAGAUGCAAAAGACCGGAGAGAGUUGUUUUGGAGCAGGGAAUGCUGGAGCAUCUUCUAAACCUCAAGAAGAAGAAAUGAAUUGUGAAAAUAUGAAUGAAGAAGAUCUAAAUGGCAUCCAAGUUGACUCUAAUGUUGAGAGCAGGUGAUUUUUAUUACCAUAUCUUUUUGUGUUAAACUCUCGCAAUUUAAUAUAGACAAAAUGAUAACAUAUCACAAUUUUGAAUUUUAGGGAAGAAUAUGAAAAUGCGGUUUAUCAUAGGAGUUCUGAUUGGCCCUUGGACCCACAUCUCAAAAAAUUCAAAGAUCCAUCUGGUAAUUACAAUUCUCCAAACACUAGUACUUUUUUAGGAAAAAAUUUAUGAAUUUUAUUUUUGGUUUAUAGUAUACAAAUAUUUGAUAGAUCUUUGAAGAUGAUUAGAUUACAAGCCUUUAAAUUUGCGCUAAUAAAAUCUUGUAUGUUGAUAAGAGUGGUAUUUUCUCCAUGCAGAUGCAGGAAACUGAUGUGCCAGCCAAGCUCGAAGAGGAAAUGGCAAGUGGUUGAAAUUCUCACUUGACCAAUGGAAGUUGUACUCUUGCUUUUAUUCACUCAUGAAUAUUUG
rnacentral:lncRNA from 1 species